UACGAAAAUUGCAAAACCAUAACAAAACAAACUUAUUUUCAGUUUACUUUUUAUACCAUAGGAUGAUUUGAAAUGGUAUUAGCCCAGUGAUUAAUAUUACCAACAAUCGAUUUUAGUACUCUCAAAGUACCUUCUAAUUUAAAAUAAUAUAGUAAUUAGUCGUGAUUUAAAAGAAAAAUGUCAACAAAAAAACAAACAAGUGAGCGGCAAACACAGUUGCAGCAAGAUUUACAAAAUGAAUUAUACACAGCUAACCAUCUUUUACAAUCAAUUUCUUUAGAACUUCAGAAAAUAAAGAAAAUAACUGAAGAGGAUGGUGAAUUCGAAAAAAAUGUAUCACAGAACUCAUCUUUAAUAGCGAAACUUGCUAAAAUGAAACACAUCAAUUUAAAAACUUUGCCAGCUUUUGACAGAUUACAGAACCACAAUCGGGAGGCAACUAGUGAAAUUAUUGAUUACCAAUUACCAAAUGACACUUCCAGUAAUAUGGAUGACACUCAAUAAAUAUUUUAAAAAUAAACCAAUUAAUGUUUUCAAAUAAAUUUUAGUUUUCUUUGAAUGCAUACUUUUGCUGGGCCACUAAAUUUUGAAAACACUAAAACAAUGAGGUAUUUUUGUUUUAGUGCAUUAUAUUUCACCCUGUGUUCACGAUUUUGCUAUUCACACCUGUUUGUAAAAUUAUUAAUAUAUAAUAAUAAAUUUAUUUCAGGCAGCAUCGCCCAUAUAUUGUUAGUAUUAACUUAUUCUAGGAUUAGUAAUAUUACAAGGAUUUAUUUUUAGAUUUAAGAAUAAUAUUCCAUUUUCCAUUAAUUAAAUUAUGUACAUUAUUUAAGACUCUUAAUAUUCUUUUUUCAUUUUUAUUAAUUCUAUCCCUAAUUGAAAAAAUCUUUUUCCUCGCAAUAGCAUAAAAAUCAUCUACUCUGUAUAAGGCAAACAUAUGAGAUGCACAACAAAAACGUGGUAAUCCCAAGAACAUCCUAAAAGCAUUAUUAUAUUGAACUCUAAAAAUGUUACUUGUAUAAAAGGACUGACAGUAGGUGGUGAACAGUAGCUUUUUGACAUUCCUACUGCACUUAAAUCUUAUUAUCAUGUUCGCCCUAACUGAUAAAUUUCUUCUCUCUCUCUCUAUAAGAUGUUAUUAUUAAAUUGUAUAAAUUUAAUAACAUAAAGACACCACUAGUUAUCUGGAGGGAAAAGCGAAAUUGGCUUGCGGGCCCACAUUUGAGCGCUCUACAAAGCACAUGUCCGGCCAGUGCCACACAUGGAGUAUUGCUGUCAUCUCUGGUCUGGCGCACUCAGUAUCAGCUCAAACCAUUUGACCGCGUGCUCUGUGAAGGGCUAGAUCACUUGGUGUUGCGUAGAGAAGUCGCUUUAUUGUGUGUCUUUGCGGUCACCUUCGCACGACACGCCACAAAUAAGUAUAUCAUCCCCACCAUCAUGGAUCCUCUACGUGUGGUUUUCAAGGAACUUUCUUCCACGUACUACAAAGUUGUGGAACGAGCUUCCUUGUGCGGUGUUUCCGGGACGAUGCGACAUGGGUCCCUUCAAAAAAAGGCGCGUACAUCUUCCUUAAAAUCCGGCAACGCUCCUGUGAAUCCUCUGGUGUUGCAAGAGAAUGUGGGCCGCGGUGAUGACUUAACAUCAGGUAACACUUUCGUUUAUCCUCCUAUUCUAUAAAAAAGUGAAUAAAAUAGGUAAUUGUUU